UUUAUUUUCAGUGCCUAGAAUUACUUAUUUUAUGAGAAGUUCUUGGGCCAGUGUUGUAUCUGAUCAUUGAUCCAUUUGCUUCUCACAUACAAGUAAUUUCUUCAGCCUCAUUAAGUGA
rnacentral:precursor_RNA from 15 species